CAAAACACAAGACCAGUAUAAUCCUGUCCACAACGCUUAGAUCACUGACACACGGAAAUAGACGGGGAUUUUGUUGAAUAAUACCUUUCUGUUUGUCUCGCCCUUUCUGGUGAUCAGAGUAGAAGAAAGUUGUGUGUAUUAAAUCUGUUACUAUAACAACAUCAAGAUGUCUGAUAUGUCCCUUCAGCCGAUUGUUCGCCCAGCGAAUUUCUAUUUCAACGCUUCAAAUAAUGUACAUAUAGUCAACAACUACAACAUUCACAAUCAUCUGAGUAGCCCACCAAAAGAAGAUGUCGAAAAAAUGAAGAAUGAAAUACAACAACUCCAAUCAGAUAAACAGAGCCACGCUGACAAAAUACAGAAGCAAGCUGACAAGAUACAGCAACUUGAGUCAAGGGUUAAAGUUGUGGAAGAUAAAACAGGAGUCAAGAAAGCAGAUGAAAAUAAAAUGAAAGAAAAGAAUCAUGUGAUAAUUAUGACUGUAGAUUUGUUGCUGUGGAGAUGGUCCUAUGUGUAUAGGUUUUAGUAGAGAUACAAAUAGGAGGAGUAGAGAAGGCAGUAUGGUAUAAUAGAUGUUGAUGUUGUUGACAUUACUAAUAUUUUAAUAUAUAGAAUUUAUUCUUUUGGGAUUAUUAUAAUAUCUUUUGCAUUCAUUGCUUGUUAUAUUAUCAUUAUCUUUUGCAUUGUUUGUUACAUUAUUAGUCUGUGACGAAUAUGUCGAUACGUAUAGCAUGAUUACCGUCAGUCGACUUGUUGCCGUUUUAACGCGUAAAGAAACCAUUUAAAUCAUUAUAUGCAUAAAACCCAAUCUGAUUAAAACACAGAUCCUAUUUCGUUCCGUUUUAAUAGUUCGAAAUUUCGUUUUAUUGCCUUUACUACACUAUGACCUGGAAGAGUUGUUAUAUAACCCGCCUUCUGGUUGGUGUGACGGAUUAGCCAAUGCAAGACCCCUAGUUUCGAACACAUUUCUGUCGCGCGACGUAGACGUUCAUCUUGUGUCACGUCGAUCCUCUAAAUUUUCUAUAUAAACGGCGCUAGAACAUAUGAAUGUUUAGCUGGCCGGUCAACUCUGGUUUAAGGUCGUGGUCAGAAAUGGAAUGUGUCUGUUGACCAAAUUUGAUAAUGAGUCCUUGUUGGUAUACAAGGCAUGAAGCACGUGAUCGGAAAACACCAUUUCAUAUUUGGCAUGAGUGACCAAUCACAUGAUUAAUUACAUCAUAAUUAGCCAAUAGAAUAAUUAAUGACUGUGAAUCUGAGAGUAUACAAUUUAUAAAAUGUGCGGUCAAGGUUAGACAGCCAUGUAGUUCUUGCAGGGAGAAGAUGUAACAAUUCUCUAUCAGCAGACUCGCCGAGUCUGACUGGAUGGGGUUUGAGAUAAUAAAAUAAAACCAAGUACGAACAAUCUAAACCAUUAGACAAAAUUCGAAGUCCUAAAAAAACGGAAAAGGCAAAAUAGUGUAAUCAGUAUAUGGACUGUUCACCGUGUACAAAAUACACGACAAACAGUGGUAACAGGUGUCCGGAAGAGUAAGCUUACCCUGGCUGACGCCACACCCGCCAUAGCUGCAUCCAAACUAUUAGGCGAAAUCUCGGUAAAAUAGCGUGAUUGGCCAAUGGACUAUCGGUAUGCAAAAUGCACGUGAUGAACAGUGUUAACGAUGUAGUAGACAGAUAUUAUCAGGGAAAUAGUAUACGCGUCAAUUAAAUAUAUAUAGAAUAAUAGCCGAGAGAGACAUGUUAUAUUUACCAGUCAAGUCAAUAUGACGGCCAUAAAACUUUUUAAAGGUUUUAAUAAGUUUAGUUCGCAAGUAUCCAUGUAGUUAAUGACUUUAUUAUAAUGCGUGUAACCAUGUAACCUAUAUGUAGCAGUGCUUAAUAUAGAAAUGUAGAAUCGAAA